rnacentral:rRNA from 1 species
UACGUAGGCAGCAAGCGUUGUUCGGAAUUACUGGGCGUAAAGAGUGUGUAGGCGGUGCUCUAAGUCUGUUGUGAAAUCCCACGGCUCACCCGUGGAACGGCUGGGCAUACUGGCGAUCUUGGGCCAACUAGGGGCAACUGGAACAAGCGGUGGAGCGGUGAAAUGCGUAGAUAUCGCUUGGAACGCCAAAGGUGAAAACAGGUUGCUGGGGUUGUGCCGACGCUGAGACACGAAAGCCAGGGGAGCAAACGGG